rnacentral:rRNA from 1 species
GGGACACGUGGUAUCCUGUCUGAAUAUGGGGGGACCAUCCUCCAAGGCUAAAUACUCCUGACUGACCGAUAGUGAACCAGUACCGUGAGGGAAAGGCGAAAAGAACCCCGGCGAGGGGAGUGAAAAAGAACCUGAAACCGUGUACGUACAAGCAGUGGGAGCCUCUUAAUGGGGUGACUGCGUACCUUUUGUAUAAUGGGUCAGCGACUUAUAUUCUGUAGCAAGGUUAACCGAAUAGGGGAGCCGAAGGGAAACCGAGUCUUAACUGGGCGUUAAGUUGCAGGGUAUAGACCCGAAACCCGGUGAUCUAGCCAUGGGCAGGUUGAAGGUUGGGUAACACUAACUGGAGGACCGAACCGACUAAUGUUGAAAAAUUAGCGGAUGACUUGUGGCUGGGGGUGAAAGGCCAAUCAAACCGGGAGAUAGCUGGUUCUCCCCGAAAGCUAUUUAGGUAGCGCCUCGUGAAUUCAUCUCCGGGGGUAGAGCACUGUUUCGGCAAGGGGGUCAUCCCGACUUACCAACCCGAUGCAAACUGCGAAUACCGGAGAAUGUUAUCACGGGAGACACACGGCGGGUGCUAACGUCCGUCGUGAAGAGGGAAACAACCCAGACCGCCAGCUAAGGUCCCAAAGUCAUGGUUAAGUGGGAAACGAUGUGGGAAGGCCCAGACAGCCAGGAUGUUGGCUUAGAAGCAGCCAUCAUUUAAAGAAAGCGUAAUAGCUCACUGGUCGAGUCGGCCUGCGCGGAAGAUGUAACGGGGCUAAACCAUGCACCGAAGCUGCGGCAGCGACACUAUGUGUUGUUGGGUAGGGGAGCGUUCUGUAAGCCUGUGAAGGUGGCCUGUGAGGGUUGCUGGAGGUAUCAGAAGUGCGAAUGCUGACAUAAGUAACGAUAAAGCGGGUGAAAAGCCCGCUCGCCGGAAGACCAAGGGUUCCUGUCCAACGUUAAUCGGGGCAGGGUGAGUCGACCCCUAAGGCGAGGCCGAAAGGCGUAGUCGAUGGGAAACAGGUUAAUAUUCCUGUACUUGGUGUUACUGCGAAGGGGGGACGGAGAAGGCUAUGUUGGCCGGGCGACGGUUGUCCCGGUUUAAGCGUGUAGGCUGGU